ACAGAGGGUGCGAGCGUUAUCGGAUUUACUGGGCGUAAAGCGUGCGUAGGCGGCUUUUUAAGUCGGAUGUGAAAUCCCUGAGCUUAACUUAGGAAUUGCAUUCGAUACUGGGAAGCUAGAGUAUGGGAGAGGAUGGUAGAAUUCCAGGUGUAGCGGUGAAAUGCGUAGAGAUCUGGAGGAAUACCGAUGGCGAAGGCAGCCAUCUGGCCUAAUACUGACGCUGAGGUACGAAAGCAUGGGGAGCAAACAGGAUUAGAUACCCUGGUAGUC
rnacentral:rRNA from 1 species